rnacentral:rRNA from 1 species
CACGUAGGGCGCAAGCGUUGUCCGGAAUUACUGGGCGUAAAGGGCGCGUAGGCGGUGCGAUAAGUCAGGCGUGAAAGGCCCGGGCUCAACCCGGGGACUGCGCUUGAUACUGUUGCGCUGUGAGUCCGGGAGAGGAUGGCGGAAUUCCCAGUGUAGAGGUGAAAUUCGUAGAUAUUGGGAAGAACACCGGUGGCGAAGGCGGCCAUCUGGACCGGCACUGACGCUGAGGCGCGAAAGCGUGGGGAGCAAGCAGG